AGGCCGGGAACUCAAAGGAGACUGCCAGUGAUAAACUGGAGGAAGGUGGGGAUGACGUCAAGUCAUCAUGGCCCUUACGAGUAGGGCUACACACGUGCUACAAUGGCGCAUACAAAGAGAAGCGACCUCGCGAGAGCAAGCGGACCUCAUAAAGUGCGUCGUAGUCCGGAUUGGAGUCUGCAACUCGACUCCAUGAAGUCGGAAUCGCUAGUAAUCGUGGAUCAGAAUGCCACGGUGAAUACGUUCCCGGGCCUUGUACACACCGCCCGUCACACCAUGGGAGUGGGUUGCAAAAGAAGUAGGUAGCUUAACCUUCGGGAGGGCGCUUACCACUUUGUGAUUCAUGACUGGGGUGAAGUCGUAACAAGGUAACCGUAGGGGAACCUGCGGUUGGAUCACCUCCUU
rnacentral:rRNA from 1 species